GACGUAGGGCGCGAGCGUUGUCCGGAUUUAUUGGGCGUAAAGAGCUCGUAGGCGGUCUGUUGCGUCCGCUGUGAAAACUCGGGGCUUAACCCCGAGCCUGCAGUGGAUACGGGCAGACUAGAGGUAGGUAGGGGAGAAUGGAAUUCCCGGUGUAGCGGUGAAAUGCACAGAUAUCGGGAGGAACACCGGUGGCGAAGGCGGUUCUCUGGGCCUUACCUGACGCUGAGGAGCGAAAGCGUGGGGAGCGAACAGG
rnacentral:rRNA from 1 species